rnacentral:rRNA from 1 species
GAUGAACGCUGACAGAAUGCUUAACACAUGCAAGUCGACUCGAGUCUUCGGACUUGGGUGGCGCACGGGUGAGUAACGCGUAAAGAACUUGCCUCUUAGACCGGGACAACAUCUGGAAACGGAUGCUAAUACCGGAUAUUGUAUUUUAGGGGCAUCCCUUUGAUACCAAAGAUUUAUGUGCUGAAAGAUGGUCUCGCGUCUGAUUAGCUAGUUGGUGAGGUAACGGCUCACCAAGGCGACGAUCAGUAGCCGGUCUGAGAGGAUGAACGGCCACAUUGGGACUGAGAUACGGCCCAG